rnacentral:rRNA from 1 species
GACGAACGCUGGCGGCGUGCUUAACACAUGCAAGUCGAACGGAAAGGCCCUGCUUUUGUGUGGUUCUCGAGUGGCGAACGGGUGAGUAACACGUGAGUAACCUGCCCUUGACUUUGUGAUAACUUCAGGAAACUGGGUCUAAUACCGGAUAUGAUCUCCUGCUGCAUGGUGGGGGAUGGAAAGUUUCGGCGGUUGGGGAUGGACUCGCGGCUUAUCAGCUUGUUGGUGGGGUAGUGGCUUACCAAGGCUUUGACGGGUAGCCGGCCUGAGAGGGUGAACGGCCACAUUGGGACUGAGAUACGGCGCAGACUGCUACGGGAGGCAGAAGUGGGGAACAUUGCACAAUGGGCGGAAGUCUGAUGCAGAAACGCCGCGUGCGGGAUGACGGGUUUCGGGGUGUAAACAGAUUUGGCAGGUGACGAAGAGUGAGUGACGGUAAUGGGUAAAGAAGCACCGGCUAACUACGUG